CUGAUUUGUAAUUAUUUUUCAUUUUCUUCUCCAAAAUUUAGCUAAUCAUGAUGAAGAUAAAGACCACGAAGAAAGGAAGAAUCAAGAGAGACAUAGGAAAACGUGCCCACAAACUCGGGGAGACUGGGAAGAAGACGUUAAUACUACACGGCACAAAAACUAGCAGCGUGUUGAAUUCACUACUUACAGAAGUAUAUCAUCUAUAGAAGGAUAAUGCCGUCAAGUAUUCGCGGAGAAAUGACAAUAUUAGACCGUUCGAGAGUGGCGGUGAAGCUUCUCUGGAAUUUUUUUUCGCUCAAAACAGAUUGCAGUUUGUUUGUGGUAAGCGUGAAACCUGUGCCGACCUAUUUUGCAAGUCUUGUGUGAAAGCAAUUGAAAAUGUGUGUUGGUUCCUAUACAGAAAGGUUUAUUGGGAGGUUAGAUAGUACUAAUAUUCUAUUAUGUUUGGUAAAAAAAUUUCUUUAGGUAAGACUUGCCGCUAACUUAUAGAAGAUACGUGGUCCUCCUCCUGAAUUCAUGUUUAAGAAUGUAUUGCGUGAUUAAAAGUAUUAAAGAUGAAAGAAUAUUUUUUAUUAUUGAUUCUCAAAUGAAAAAUGUAUACAAGUGAUCUACAUAAAUAGCUGUAUGGUGGCUGUAUUGCAGCUGUACUUAUAACUAAUUUUAAGUCUAUACAAUUGGCGCCAAAAUGGAAUGCUGAACACGUGAACUACUGUUCUCUAAUACUCCCCCUCAAGAUGGACUAUGUAGAUUAAGAAUAGCCAUCUUGGACAAGAGAGGGAAGAGAAGAGAUGAAGGCAACGGCUUAGCGAACAUGUCAGCUAGUUGACGUUGAGAGCGAACUGGUAGAAGCUUAAUGAAACCUUCGUUGACUUUAUCCAGAAUGAAGUGACAGUCGAUCUCUUUAUGCUUUGUUCUUCGUGAAAAAUUGGAUUGUUGGCAAUGUGAAUGGCAACUUGAUUAUCACAGUAAAUCAAUGCUGGAAUAGAAGCUGCGACCUGCAAAUCAAGGAGUUGUUGAAUCCAAAUGAUCUCACAUGCCGAUGAGGCCAAAGCACGAUAUUCAGCCUCCGCCGAAGAUCUGGAGAUGAUGGUUUGCUUCUUAGACGUCCAAGAGAUUAGAGAGUUUCCAAGAAAUAUGCAAAAGCCAAUGACUGAUUUUCUCAAGUCAAGACAUGACCCCCAAUCUGCAUCAGCAAAAGCCCGAAUCUGGAACGAGGAAAGUGCAUCAAACAUCAAUCCUUGACCAGGAGCAGAUUUGAUAUAUCGUAAGAGAUGAUGUACAGCAUCUAAGUGGGGUUGUCAAGGCUCUGAGACAAACUGACUUAAUUUGUGGACAGCAAAUGUGCUGUCUGGGAGAGGGAUGGUCAAGUAUAGUAGCCUGCCAACAAGUCGACGAUAAAGGGAUGCAUCAGCAGGUGGCUCUCCUUCAAAGGAGCUGAGCUUUACUUUAGGAUCCAUUGGCAAUGAUGUUGGUUUACAACCCAAAAAACCAGUAUCUUCAAGGAGUUGUAAAGUAUAGUGCCUUUGAGAAAGGAAAAUACCCCUUUGUGAUCUUGCUAUCUCCAAGCCAAGAAAGUACUUCAACUUACCAAGAUCCUUUAAUUUAAAUUGGCUAUGCAAAAAGACUUUUAAGGAAUCAAUUGCCCUAGUAUCUGAUCCGAUGAUGACUAUGUCAUCAACAUAAACCUUGUAGGCAAUGAAAGAAGCACCUGACCCCUUUGUAAACAAAGAGUAGUCUGAUUUAGAAUUCUGAAAACCAGGCAAUAAAAGAGUUUGAGGAAAUUUGGAAAACCAUUGCCUAGAUGCUUGUUUUAGGCUUAAAUUGAUUUAUGAAGUCUACACACUAGUUUCUCCCCCUGAGGACCAACUGAGGUUUGCUUUGGUUGGCCUAGAGUUAAAUCCAUGUAAAUUUCCUCAAACAAAUCACCAUUAAGAAAUGCAUUGUUGACAUCCAACUGCACAAGAUGCCACUUUUUAACAGUAUCAACAGCAAGAAGGGUCUUAACAGUGACCAAUUUUGCAACUGGAGAGAAAGUUUCAAUAAAGUCUAAACCUUCCUGUUGUGUAUACCCUUUCGCAACCAACCGGGCUUUGUACCGGUCUAUACUCCCAUCUGAGUUGAACUUGAUCUUAUAAACCCAUCGAGACCCUAUGGAAUGCUUGUCCUUAGCCAAAGUAGUAAUUGACCAAGUAUGAUUGCUUCCAUGGCUGCCAAUUCAUCAGCCAUGGCAUUCCUCCAUUGUUCAAAUUUCACUGCCUGGUAAUGAAAUUGGGGUUCAAAUGUGGAAGAUAUAUUGAAGAGAAGGGAGUUAUGUGAGGGAGAAAAUGUUUUGUAAGAUAAGUAUUUGCAUAAAGGAUAUAAGGAAGUGUUGGAAAGAGGGGAAGCUUUGGUCAGAAGAUUGCAAUGAAAAUCACGAAGGUAAGAGGGGGCCCUGUGUGUUCUCAUACCUUUUCUAGAAAUAGAUGAAGCCCCUGUUUGAGCCUCAUUUUUACCUCAUUAAAAUGAAAAAUAUGACCGUUAUCCAUCACAUCAAGGCACCAUUUUUGAAUUUCUAUCUCUGGUGUGAGGCCCAUAACGGCUCUAUUUCUCAUUCUCAUUCUCAUUUUCAUUAUAAUGUGGCUCAAACAGGCUCGAAAGGGAUUGAUCUAAGUUGUGAAUGGAGCUAGAAUCAUUGACUGGAGGGAUAUCACCAGAAUUAUUGGUAGUAGGAGGACUUGUGGGAGAAUGUUCCAAAGGCAAUUCUUGAAGCACGUGUGGCAAAACUAUAUGUGGGGAAGUAUCAAUGGGCCAAUACAGGAUGGAAUUGAUUGAAAUGGAAAGAUAUGCUCAUGGAAGACAACAUCCCUAGGAAUGAAAAAUGUUUUGGAAACCAUGUCAUGGAGUUUGGAACCUUUAAUGACUGGGGAAUAACCAACAAAAACGCAUGCCUUAGCUCUUGGAUGGAAUUUUGUUCUAUGAGAGGAUAGAGUGGAGGCAAAACAAAGGCUGCCAAAGGUCCUAAGAUGAUGAUAGUUCACUGGAGAAUUGUAUAGGCAAAUAAAUGGAGUCUUGUUUUGUAAAAUUGGUGAUGGAGUUCGAUUUAUUAGAAAAGUGGCAGUAAGGAUGCAUUCUCCCCAAAAUUGAAUAGGGACUCUAGAUUGGAAAAAUAAUGCACGAGCGACAUUAAGGAGGUGUUGAUGUUUCCUUUCAACCACAGAAUUCUGUUCUGGCCUUUCCACACAUGAAUAUUGAUGAAUUACACCUUUGGAAUUGAAGAAAUCUUUAAAACUGAGCUCCUUAGCAUUAUUAGAUCUAAAGCACUUUAUUACUUUGUUAAAUUGAGUCUCUAUGAGGGAGAAGAAUUUGGGAAUGAUAAAGGCAACAUCAGAUUUUUGCUUCAUCAAAUACACCCAAGUAAAUCUUGUGCAGUUAUCAACCAAAAUCAAAAAGUACUUGUAACCAGCCUGUGUAGCAACAUUGUAGAGUCCCCAAACAUCGCAAUGAAUGAGAUCAAAAGCAGCAGGAGAUAAAUGAUUGUUAGAAACAAAUGAAAGUCUUCGUUGCUAAGUCAAAGGACAUACAAGACAAGGAACAUAAAGGUCUUUCUUCCUCACAUCAAAUUUCAACAAAUUUCUCAACAUGUCUAACUUCUUAAAAGACAAAUGUCCAAGUCUACAAUGCCAAACAUGACUAGGUACAUUAUUUGCUACAAAUGAACAGAAUUACAAGAAUUUUCAAAGCUAAUAGUAUUAUUUUCCAUCGAGUUAAGGCAACUAGCAUCAAUGAUGUAUAGAUCUUCAGCCCUUUUACCCUUGCCAAUCAUCCUCAUUGUUGGCAAAACCUGAAUAACACACAUAUCAGUAAGAAACCUGAUACCAUAUUAAAGAUGAAAGAAUAUUUUAUAUUAUUGAUUCUCAAACGAAAAAUGGAUACAAGUAAUCUAUAUAAAUAGCUGUAUGGCAGCUGUAUUACAGCUGUAAUUGUAACUAAUUUUAAGUCUAUACAAUUGGCGCCAAAAUGCAAUGCUGAACACGUGAACUGCUGUGCUCUAAUAAAAAGGGUUGAUUUUGGUUACUGUUUGUAAACUCGAGAUAAUUUCUCAUUUUGAUUGAGUUGGUCAAGAUUUGUCCUUGCUGCAGUCAGCUCAGUUUUAGAGCUUAAAAAUGUGCCAGAUUAUUACCUUCAGUUGAUUUUAUUGUGAUGACAUUUCAUAUCAGACGGCUAUAUCAAGUCCCAGAAAUCAAUGUUCUUCUCAGUUCUGAAGAACUUAAUUUGCUUAGGAAGACAAUAGAAUUCCUUCGUUUGCUGGCAGCCAACUAUGUAGUGGGUAGUUGGUAGGUAAAAUCUCCGUUAGUUACUUAACUUAUAGUUUUGGACCUUUGGUUAGCCCUUGUUCGAGCCCCAGUCUCUAAAAAAUCAUCUUUCUCCCACUAAUUUUAAACCACACAUUCUUCCAAUUUUUUCACUUAAACCCAAAACUUUUAUAUACUUUUUAACCACAUGUUUUCCAAAAAAAUCACUAUUACAAAAUCUAUUUUCCCCAAAAGUGGGGAUCAAACGGGGGCUACGUCAUGAAACUUUUUUGUACUCCAAAUUAGUCAUGAACUUCAUCGUUGUUUCAGUUUAUUUCUGUCCAUCUCGCCUUGGUGGUGUGGCUAAACAAAAAUUUGAUGUGCCAUUGAAAAUCCGGUAACCCAUAUUAUUUUGUCCAGCUUGGCAAGUGAAAAACUUAGGUUAUUGAAUUGCAAGUACAGACCACCAAGUAUAGUAUCUAAUUGUUCUGGACCACCAAGUAUAUUUAUCUGAUGAAUUUUUUGAAGCUUUCGUAUAACAGUGUGAUGAAUGAAACUGUUUAGCAUACCUUGAUUGAUACUACAAAUAAGAAGAACUGUUUGUAGCAUAGGCUGAUAAAUGCUAUAACAGUGUGAUGAAUGGAACUGUUUAGGAUACCUCGAUAGAUACUACUAGUAAGAACUGUUUGUAGCAUAGACCGAUACACGGUUACAUUCUAAUGUGAAGGAAGUUUAAUAACCCAUUAGAUAAGUGACCAAGUAUUUACCUGGUAUACAUAGUGCAUGCUAGUUGGUUAUUGGAUAAUAUUUGGCACCACUUUUUACAAGUUAUAAUUUUCAGAUAUUUCAGAAAACGCUCACGGUCUGAUAUUUAUGUUGAUGCAAGUCAGCUAGAAGAUAGAUAGUCUUGUAAAUGACCUAGAUUUUUAUUCAAGGGAGUGCGCUCCAAUCUGUCCCGUUAUGUUGUUGAUUCUAAAAAAUGUCAUUUUUGUGGCAGGUAGGCAUUCAAAAUUCGGAGCUAGUAGAUGCAUCUAAAUUUGAUGGACAUAUCCAUUUAUUGGACUAUAUUCCUGCCUUUAGUCUUACAUCAUACGUGACGUGACCUCUUCACUUGACAGUUGUCCUGAUCCAGAUAAAUAUGAAUGAAUGAAUGAACGAACGAACAAAUAACACUACCAAAUAUAAAAACGUACAUCUCUUGGGAUAAAAUACUUGUACUGACCAUUAUAUUCCUAGAUUUGCAUCUUAUGUUUAUUUUUUUAUGGUCAUUCCAAUCAUAUAAAAGACAGCAGCUGAGCAAAGUAGAACAGUGAAGGGAAUACAAUCUGUUUUCAACUUUCUUAUUUUAUUAUAACAUGUUUUCCCAGUUUUCUAUUUGCAGUUUGGUUCUCACUCAAAGAAGCAGCCAAACAAUCUUGUUAUUGGACAAACCUAUGAUCACCACAUUUAUGAUCUUGUAGAGAUCGGGAUUGAAAAUUUCAAAAGCUGAACUCUUUCGCAUACGAUAAGAAAUUGGCCCCUCAAAUUGGGUCGAACCCUUUUUUGCUUUCAUAGGAGAAGGUUUUGAGUGUGUUGAUGAGCUGAAACAUAUAAAAGAAAUUUUACUUGACUUGUUCCAUGGAGAGGUUGUGAAAAUUUGAACCUUGCUGGACUGGACCACGUGUAUGUUUGCACAGCCAUAUCCUCAGACCAAAAUAUUCUUUACUCAUUGUGCAAUCUGACUUAAAGUCUGGCACUAUAGUGCCAAGGAUGGCGUUGGUUGAAGUUGGUCUGUCCAUGGAUAUGGUGGUUCGAAGACAUCAUCUUCCCGAUGACAGCCUGAGAAAAGAAGCAAUGAAGAUAGCCCCUGAAUUAACAAAGAAAAAGGAGAAGAAUGUUAUCAAAGAUGCAAUACAAGGGAAAAUUGGGAAGAUUUAUAUUCCAGAUCAAAAGGUUGGAAAUGUGGCACUGCCUAACAAAGCGCAGGGGGUGAAGAGGAAGCUAAAACAAAAGACUGAGGCCUACAGGUCUGUAGAAAAGAGGCAGAGAUAGCAUUUGGAGUGAUUCCUGGGCUUCAUAGCAGUCACAAGUCAUAACAUUUUGAGUGUGACUUCCAUUGCUUUGCUUACGGGUUCGAUCCUUUUUUGGUCAGUUAAAGGUAGGAAAAUGAUCAAAAUGUAUUGUACAGUAAACCAUGUAACGAAUUAUAUAGCCAGCAAAAACCUAUUAUAUUCUCUAAUUUCAAGUUACGUCUAUUGGUUC